UACGGGGGGGGCAAGCGUUGUUCGGAAUUACUGGGCGUAAAGGGCUCGUAGGUGGCCAACUAAGUCAGACGUGAAAUCCCUCGGCUUAACCGGGGAACUGCGUCUGAUACUGGAUGGCUUGAGUUCGGGAGAGGAUGGUGGAAUUCCCAGUGUAGAGGUGAAAUUCGUAGAUAUUGGGAAGAACACCGGUGGCGAAGGCGGCCAUCUGGACCGCAACUGACGCUGAGGCGCGAAAGCGUGGGGAGCAAACAGG
rnacentral:rRNA from 1 species